GUCCCACUCGUGUUGGAGUGAGCUGCUGUAAAGAGGUGUCAAAAGGAAGAAUCCCUGCUACAAUUAAACUGAUUGGGUACAAGAAUCAGAAUGCUCUGAGUCCAUGUGUGGAUGCUAUAAUAUUCUACACAGAGAAGGAAAAGUUCUGCUCUGAUCCAAAAGCGCUCUGGAUUCAAAACCGUCUGAAAGGUCUGAAGGAGAUAGUGGACUGAGAAAAUGGAGGCCUAGAGGAUGCUGCAAAUCUAUCUA